UCCUCUCUCUUGUCUGCUGUGGGCCCAGGGCCCAGCUCAGGGCCUCCGCCAACACUCCCUGAGACCCCACCCUUGGUCUAAUCUCAAUACACCUUCAUUCACAAACAGCAAUUGAGCCACUGAGUGGAAGUUGUCACUUGGGAUACACAGACGUGUGUUCUUCUGUGUCCAGCCCCCAUCUGUGUCCACCUCUGUCCCUUCCUCUCUCCCUCCAACCGUCUGCGUUUGUAAAUAUCUAUUUAAAUAAAAGACUUUGACAAUCA